rnacentral:rRNA from 1 species
GGGAUAACGUAGCGAAAGUUACGCUAAUACCGCAUAUUCUGUGAGCAGGAAAGCAGGGGAUCGCAAGACCUUGCGCUGAUUGAGCGGCCGAUAUCAGAUUAGCUAGUUGGUGAGGUAAAGGCUCACCAAGGCGACGAUCUGUAGCGGGUCUGAGAGGAUGAUCCGCCACACUGGAACUGAGACACGGUCCAGACUCCUACGGGAGGCAGCAGUGGGGAAUUUUGGACAAUGGGGGCAACCCUGAUCCAGCCAUGCCGCGUGAGUGAAGAAGGCCUUCGGGUUGUAAAGCUCUUUCGGCCGGGAAGAAAUCGCAUGGGUUAAUACCCUGUGCGGAUGACGGUACCGGCAUAAGAAGCACCGGCUAACUACGUGCCAGCAGCCGCGGUAAUACGUAGGGUGCGAGCGUUAAUCGGAAUUACUGGGCGUAAAGCGUGCGCAGGCGGUUUUGUAAGACAGGCGUGAAAUCCCCGGGCUCAACCUGGGAACUGCGCUUGUGACUGCAAGGCUAGAGUAUGGCAGAGGGGGGUGGAAUUCCACGUGUAGCAGUGAAAUGCGUAGAGAUGUGGAGGAACACCAAUGGCGAAGGCAGCCCCCUGGGCCAAUACUGACGCUCAUGCACGAAAGCGUGGGUAGCAAACAGGAUUAGAUACCCUGGUAGUCCACGCCCUAAACGAUGUCAACUAGGUGUUGGGUGGGUAAAACCAUUUAGUACCGGAGCUAACGCGUGAAGUUGACCGCCUGGGGAGUACGGCCGCAAGGUUAAAACUCAAAGGAAUUAACGGGGACCCGCACAAGCGGUGGAUGAUGUGGAUUAAUUCGAUGCAACGCGAAAAACCUUACCUACCCUUGACAUGUCCAGGAGCCUGAAGAGAUUUGGGUGUGCCCGAAAGGGAACUGGAACACAGGUGCUGCAUGGCUGUCGUCAGCUCGUGUCGUGAGAUGUUGGGUUAAGUCCCGCAACGAGCGCAACCCUUGUCGUUAAUUGCCAUCAUUUAGUUGGGCACUUUAACGAGACUGCCGGUGACAAACCGGAGGAAGGUGGGGAUGACGUCAAGUCCUCAUGGCCCUUAUGGGUAGGGCUUCACACGUCAUACAAUGGUCGGUACAAAGGGUUGCCAACCCGCGAGGGGGAGCCAAUCCCAGAAAGCCGAUCGUAGUCCGGAUUGCAGGCUGCAACUCGCCUGCAUGAAGUCGGAAUCGCUAGUAAUCGUGGAUCAGCAUGUCACGGUGAAUACGUUCCCGGGUCUUGUACACACCGCCCGUCACACCAUGGGAGCGGGUUCCGCCAGAAGUAGGUAGCCUAACCGCAAGGGGGGCGCUUACCACGGCGGGGUUCGUGACUGGGGUGAAGUCGUAACAAGGUA